AUUCCAUGGUUAGUACAUUUCCAAAACAAUCCCUUGUAGCGGUCUCAUCACUCAUACAUAUAUUCAUCAUCAACAUGAUGAAAAGAAGCAAUGUCAUUUCUAAGUUG